rnacentral:rRNA from 1 species
UGAGGGAUAUUGGGCAAUGCCCGCAAGGGUGACCCAGCAACGCCGCGUGGAGGAUGAAUGUCGUAAGAUUGUAAACUCCUGUUAGAGGGGAAGAAUAGUACCGGUUGGACCGGUAUAUGACUGUACCCUCAGAGAAAGCCCCGGCUAACUACGUGCCAGCAGCCGCGGUAAUACGUAGGGGGCAAGCGUUGUCCGGAUUUACUGGGUGUAAAGGGCGCGCAGGCGGGAUAAAAAGUCAGUGGUGAAAUCCUACAGCUUAACUGUAGAACUGCCUUUGAUACUUUUAUUCUUGAGUUCGGGAGAGAGAGACGGAAUUCCUGGUGUAGUGGUGAAAUACGUAGAUAUCUGGAAGAACACCAGUUGCGAAGGCGGUCUCUUGGUCCGACACUGACGCUGAGGCGCGAAAGCGUGGGGAGCAAACA